rnacentral:rRNA from 1 species
CUGGCUCAGGAUGAACGCUAGCUACAGGCUUAACACAUGCAAGUCGCGGGGCAGCAUGGUCUUAGCUUGCUAAGACUGAUGGCGACCGGCGCACGGGUGAGUAACGCGUAUCCAACCUUCCCCUUAGUAGGGCAUAGCCCGGCGAAAGUCGGAUUAAUACCCUAUGUUCUUCGUAGAUGGCAUCUGAGACGAAGCAAAGGUUAGCGCUAAGGGAUGGGGAUGCGUCUGAUUAGGCAGUCGGCGGGGUAACGGCCCACCGAGCCUUCGAUCAGUAGGGGUUCUGAGAGGAAGGUCCCCCACAUUGGAACUGAGACACGGUCCAAACUCCUACGGGAGGCAGCAGUGAGGAAUAUUGGUCAAUGGGCGAGAGCCUGAACCAGCCAAGUAGCGUGCAGGACGACGGCCCUACGGGUUGUAAACUGCUUUUAUGCGGGGAUAAAGUGCCCUACGUGUAGGGUAUUGCAGGUACCGCAUGAAUAAGGACCGGCUAAUUCCGUGCCAGCCGCCGC